rnacentral:rRNA from 1 species
UACGUAGGGGGCAAGCGUUGUCCGGAAUCAUUGGGCGUAAAGCGCGUGUAGGCGGCCCGAUAAGUCCGCUGUGAAAGUCCAGGGCUCAACCCUGGGAUGCCGGUGGAUACUGUCGGGCUCGAGUCCGGAAGAGGCGAGUGGAAUUCCUGGUGUAGCGGUGAAAUGCGCAGAUAUCAGGAGGAACACCAAUGGCGAAGGCAGCUCGCUGGGACGUGACUGACGCUGAGACGCGAAAGCGUGGGAGCAAACGGG